AUUGAACGCUGGCGGCAGGCUUAACACAUGCAAGUCGAGCGGGGGAAGGUAGCUUGCUACUGGACCUAGCGGCGGACGGGUGAGUAAUGCUUAGGAAUCUGCCUAUUAGUGGGGGACAACAUCUCGAAAGGGAUGCUAAUACCGCAUACGUCCUACGGGAGAAAGCAGGGGAUCUUCGGACCUUGCGCUAAUAGGUGAGCCUAAGUCGGAUUAGCUAGUUGGUGGGGUAAAGGCCUACCAAGGCGACGAUCUGUAGCGGGUCUGAGAGGACGAUCCGCCACACUGGGACUGAGACACGGCCCAGACUCCUACGGGAGGCAGCAGUGGGGAAUAUUGGACAAUGGGGGGAACCCUGAUCCAGCCAUGCCGCGUGUGUGAAGAAGGCCUUAUGGUUGUAAAGCACUUUAAGCGAGGAGGAGGCUACUUUAGUUAAUACCUAGAGAUAGUGGACGUUACUCGCAGAAUAAGCACCGGCUAACUCUGUGCCAGCAGCCGCGGUAA
rnacentral:rRNA from 1 species